rnacentral:rRNA from 1 species
CCUACGGGAGGCAGCAGUGAGGAAUAUUGGUCAAUGGACGAGAGUCUGAACCAGCCAAGUAGCGUGAAGGAUGACUGUCCUAUGGGUCGUAAACCUCUUUUAUAAGGGAAUAAAGUGUUCCACGUGUGGGGUUUUGUAUGUACCAUAUGAAUAAGGAUCGGCUAACUCCGUGCCAGCAGCCGCGGUAAUACGGAGGAUCCGAGCGUUAUCCGGAUUUAUUGGGUUUAAAGGGUGCGUAGGUGGCUUUUUAAGUCAGUUGUGAAAGUUUGUGGCUCAACCGUAAAAUUGCAGUUGAAACUGGGAGUCUUGAGUAUGUUAGAGGUAGGCGGAAUGCGUGGUGUAGCGGUGAAAUGCUUAGAUAUCACGCAGAACUCCGAUUGCGAAGGCAGCUCACUAGGCUGUGACUGACGCUGAGGCUCGAAAGUGUGGGUAUCAAACAGGAUUAGAUACCCUUGUAGUC